UACGGAGGGUGCAAGCGUUAUCCGGAUUCACUGGGUUUAAAGGGUGCGUAGGAGGGCAGGGAAGUCCGUGGUGAAAUCCUAGAGCUUAACUCUAGAACUGCCGUGGAUACUCUCUGUCUUGAAUCCCGUGGAGAUGAGCGGAAUAUGUCAUGUAGCGGUGAAAUGCUUAGAUAUGACAUAGAACACCAAAUUGCGAAGGCAGCUCGUUACACGAAGAUUGACUUUGAGGCACGAAAGCGUGGGGAUCAAACAGG
rnacentral:rRNA from 1 species